GAGAAGAACGUAGCGAAAUGCGAUAAGUAAUGUGAAUUGCAGAAUUCAGUGAAUCAUCGAAUCUUUGAACGCACAUUGCGCCCAUUAGUAUUCUAGUGGGCAUGCCUGUUCGAGCGUCAUUUCAACCCUUAAGCCCCUGUUGCUUAGCGUUGGGAGCCUACAGCCUGCUGUAGUUCCUCAAAGUUAGUGGCGGAGUCAGUUCACACUCUAGACGUAGUAAAAUCUUUAUCUCGCCUAUAGAUGAGCUGGCGCCUUGCCGUAAAAAACCCCUAAUCUUUUACAAGGUUGACCUCGGAUCAGGUAGGAAUACCCGCUGAACUUAAGCAUAUCAAUAAGCGGAGGA
rnacentral:misc_RNA from 1 species